rnacentral:lncRNA from 1 species
AUGUAAACCCCAUAAAUGUACCCCUUGGCCAAAACACUUCCGUACCCUGUUCAGAGUCAUGUCAAUGCAUUUAAACUGUGUUGAAAAGCUAAGUUUGGGGUUAAAAAAACCCAAAACCUCCCAAAGCCCAAGAAAGUGCGAAAACAAAAAGAAAAAAUGAAUGAAAUAGGAAAUCAUCGAGAGAAAGAAAAAAGAGAAAAAUAAUUAUAACUCGAAGAUUCAAAAAGAAGCACGAAAAAGGGCACUC